GCAAGUGUAUGUCUCUAGGAAACCUUAAGUCUGAAAAGUGGGUUUGAACGUUGACGUGGUUUAUAGCCGGCAGUAAGGAAGUAGGAAGAAGUAGACUAUGAUUGCUCUGUGUGAGAAGCUUGUAAAACCUAAAAGUCUAACAUACAAGCAUGUUUCACACACUGUGUAUGGUAUAAACUGGAUGAGCAACUAUCGAUGGGUUGAAACCUGCUGAAAGAAAACAAAACAAGAGGUGGAAUUCUGUGUGUUUGUUAUGGAUCUGUUGUUUUCAGGUUUUGAGCUGGUCUUCAUCAUCAUUGCUUUCACUAUUAUGUGCUUAUUCGGCCUGGCUGCUGUUUACACACACAAUACAGAUCAUCAAGAUAACUACGUUCAGACGGAGCAGAAGAUAAUGCAACAAAAGAGUAACUCGAAGAAGAAACAGCGAGUUUUCACCAAAACCAGUCAAGAGCUACCGUGAACACGCAAACAAUUACAUUUCAUAUAAAUACAGAGUCGUUCUGUUGGUGCUGGAAUUAAAAGGCCUGGCUCACCAAAUGCAGCUAUCGAGUGCGUGAACAUCUCUCACGCUGAAAAUGGACUUGCUGUUAAGCUCAUCUUUUAGUUGACCCUCAAGGCCAGCUGUCUCUGAUUGGCUUGGAUGCAUGCCAGUUUAUGCUUGGGUGGGCAAACUGCUUCUAAAGUCUCCGGGUGGGGGUGGCCUUUGGCAAUGAAAUUGCUGAAUGUUUACAGUGAAAAUAUUUUUUACCUACAAAUACAAUUUAUUUAUAUCAUAAUGUUGCAAUAUUUACAUAAUGCAUUUUUAGAAUGUAUUUUAUUUAUUUUUUUACAUAAAUAUGAAUAUCGUCCAGUUUACAUAAAUAUAUAUGAAUACAUUUGAACAAGAAUAGAAAAUGGUGGCUUUAUCUUAAUAAUGUUAAUAUUUUUUUCUUCUAUAAACGUAUGUAUUAAUUUAAUAAAGCUGCAUAUACAUUUACUGUAUAUGUAAACACAAAGAUUUUGGGGGGU